rnacentral:rRNA from 1 species
ACGGAAGGCAGCAGUCGGGAAUUUUGCGCAAUGGAGGAAACUCUGACGCAGUGACGCCGCGUGCAGGAAGAAGGUUUUCGGAUUGUAAACUGCUUUAGACAGGGAAGAAACAAGACAGUACCUGUAGAAUAAGCUCCGGCUAACUACGUGCCAGCGGCCGCGGUAAUACGUAGGGAGCAAGCGUUAUCCGGAUUUACUGGGUGUAAAGGGAGCGUAGACGGCAAAGCAAGUCUGAAGUGAAAUCCCGGGGCUCAACCCCGGAACUGCUUUGGAAACUGUUUAGCUAGAGUGCAGGAGAGGUAAGCGGAAUUCCUAGUGUAGCGGUGAAAUGCGUAGAUAUUAGGAGGAACACCAGUGGCGAAGGCGGCUUACUGGACUGUAACUGACGUUGAGGCUCGAAAGCGUGGGGAGCAAACAGGAUUAGAUACCCUGGUA